CCUACGGGGCGCUGCAGUGGGGAAUAUUGGACAAUGGGCGAAAGCCUGAUCCAGCCAUGCCGCGUGUGUGAAGAAGGCCUUCGGGUUGUAAAGCACUUUCAGUGGGGAAGAAAGCCUUGGGGCUAAUACCCUCGAGGAAGGACAUCACCCACAGAAGAAGCACCGGCUAACUCCGUGCCAGCAGCCGCGGUAAUACGGAGGGUGUGAGCGUUAAUCGGAAUUACUGGGCGUAAAGCGCGCGUAGGCGGUCUGAUAAGCCGGUUGUGAAAGCCCCGGGCUCAACCUGGGAACGGCAUCCGGAACUGUCAGGCUAGAGUGCAGGAGAGGAAGGUAGAAUUCCCGGUGUAGCGGUGAAAUGCGUAGAGAUCGGGAGGAAUACCAGUGGCGAAGGCGGCCUUCUGGACUGACACUGACGCUGAGGUGCGAAAGCGUGGGUAGCAAACAGGAUUAGAUACCCUUGUAGUC
rnacentral:rRNA from 1 species